AAGAGAGAAUGUUGGCAUGAGUAGCGAAAGGUGAGUGAGAAUCUCACCCAUCGAAAGCCUAAGGAUUCCUGAGGAAGGCUCGUCCACUCAGGGUAAGUCGGGACCUAAGCCGAGGCGUAUUGCGUAGGCGAUGGACAACUGGUUGAAAUUCCAGUACCACCUUUAAGCGUUUGAGAAAUGGGGUAACACAGAAGGGUAGGCUAGCGCACUGAUGGAAUAGUGCGUCUAAGUAAGUAGGGAGACACCGGAGGCAAAUCCCCGGAGUCAAUCCUGAGAUACGAAUGGGAGCGAAAAGAAGUAGUGAAGUAGUUGAGCCCACGCUGUCAAGAAAAGCCUCUAUCGAGCAAGAAGGUGCCCGUACCGCAAACCGACACAGGUAGGCAAGGAGAGAAUCCAAAGAUGAGCGGAAGAACUAUUGUUAAGGAACUAGGCAAAAUGACCCCGUAACUUCGGGAGAAGGGGUGCCCAUUGGAGUGAAGUCUGAACAGAUGGAGCUUCGAAGGGUCACAGAAAACAGGCCCAAGCGACUGUUUACCAAAAACACAGGUCUCUGCUAAAUCGAAAGAUGAAGUAUAGGGGCUGACACCUGCCCGGUGCUGGAAGGUUAAGGGGAGAAGUCAUCGAAAGAGAAGCUUUGAACUUAAGCCCCAGUAAACGGCGGCCGUAACUAUAACGGUCCUAAGGUAGCGAAAUUCCUUGUCGGGUAAGUUCCGACCCGCACGAAAGGUGUAACGAUUUGGGCACUGUCUCAACAAUAGAUCCGGUGAAAUUGUAGUACUCGUGAAGAUGCGAGUUACCCGCGGCAGGACGGAAAGACCCCAUGGAGCUUUACUGCAGGCUGACAUUGGAAUUCGGUAGCAAUUGUACAGGAUAGGUGGGAGACAAAGAAGCAUGCACGCCAGUGUGUGUGGAGUCGACGUUGGGAUACCACUCUAUUGUUACUGAAUUUCUAACAUGAUACCGUAAUCCGGUAUAUGGACACUGUCAGUUGGGCAGUUUGACUGGGGCGGUCGCCUCCGAAAGAGUAACGGAGGCGCUCAAAGGUUCCCUCAGCACGGUCGGAAAUCGUGCGAAGAGUGUAAAGGCAGAAGGGAGCUUGGCUGAGAGAGAGACAUCUCGAUCAGGAACGAAAGUUGGACUUAGUGAUCCGGUGGUACCGAAUGGAAGGGCCGUCGCUUAACGGAUAAAAGCUACCCUGGGGAUAACAGGCUUAUCUCCCCCAAGAGUCCA
rnacentral:rRNA from 1 species